rnacentral:rRNA from 1 species
ACACAUGCAAGUCGAACGGUAACAGGAAGCAGCUUGCUGCUUCGCUGACGAGUGGCGGACGGGUGAGUAAUGUCUGGGAAGCUGCCUGAUGGAGGGGGAUAACUACUGGAAACGGUAGCUAAUACCGCAUAAUGUCGCAAGACCAAAGAGGGGGACCUUCGGGCCUCUUGCCAUCGGAUGUGCCCAGAUGGGAUUAGCUUGUUGGUGGGGUAACGGCUCACCAAGGCGACGAUCCCUAGCUGGUCUGAGAGGAUGACCAGCCGCACUGGAACUGAGACACGGUCCAGACUCCUACGGGAGGCAGCAGUGGGGAAUAUUGCACAAUGGGCGCAAGCCUGAUGCAGCCAUGCCGCGUGUAUGAAGAAGGCCUUCGGGUUGUAAAGUACUUUCAGCGGGGAGGAAGGGAGUAAAGUUAAUACCUUUGCUCAUUGACGUUACCCGCAGAAGAAGCACCGGCCAACUCCGUGCCAGCAGCCGCGGUAAUACGGAGGGUGCAAGCGUUAAUCGGAAUUACUGGGCGCAAAGCGCACGCAGGCGGUUUGUUAAGUCAGAUGUGAAAUCCCCGGGCUCAACCUGGGAACUGCAUCUGAUACUGGCAAGCUUGAGUCUCGUAGAGGGGGGUAGAAUUCCAGGUGUAGCGGUGAAAUGCGUAGAGAUCUGGAGGAAUACCGGUGGCGAAGGC